UGUAAAAUAAAUUUGUCACUUACGUACGUUUCACGAAUAUAGACAAAGUUCAGUUAUUUUUGAAGUGGGAAUUUGGCUAAUUGCAGCACUGUUAUCACCGAAGCUUUUUUUAGAGUGACUGUCAGAUUAGACAAGAUGGAGAAUCGUUUUCAGAGCAAAACACAAGAAGAUGAUGUAAUUGGACAAUUACCGAGUAAUAAGAGGCCCUCUAUGUCUUUAAGUAUGGGCGGACUAUGGGACGUAGUUCCACGACUGGAUCAUUACAGAUUAAGCCGUCGCGCGAAAAGACCAUCUCUGAGCACUCUACAUGAAGGAAAUCUCAUAAAGGACGCCAAUUCCGUCGAGACCGGACAAGUUGGAAGCGUUGUCGGUCAGCAGGGUCACGUCGGAAUAAAAUUAGGAUGGAUCCAAGGCGUUCUUAUACCAUGCCUGUUGAACAUAUGGGGCGUCAUGCUGUUUCUGCGACUUUCGUGGAUAGUCGCGCAGGCUGGUAUUCUGCAAACCAUCGCCAUUAUCGGAAUAUCGGCGGUCGUUUGCGUCAUUACGACGCUUAGCCUCAGCGCAAUUAGCACUAAUGGGGAAGUAAAGGGAGGUGGGAUAUACUUCAUCAUCUCUCGUUCUCUUGGACCCGAGUUUGGCGCAUCAGUUGGCAUUGUAUUUGCAUUUGCAAAUGCUGUAGCAGCUUCUAUGAAUACUAUCGGUUUCUGUGAUUCCCUUAAUGAUUUGUUAAAGACACACAAAUUGAAGAUCAUAGAUAAUAGCGUAAAUGAUGUUAGAAUUGUUGGUAUAUUAGCGCUCAUCGUUAUGAUUCUUAUCUGUGCAAUCGGCAUGGAAUGGGAAUCAAAGGCACAAAAUUUCCUUAUAGCCAUCAUCGUGAGUGCGAUCUUUGAUUUUUUAAUUGGUACUAUCAUGGGACCACAAAAUGAGGAACAGAAAGCGAAAGGUUUUAUAGGAUUUUCCGCGGACGUAUUUAUGGCUAAUCUCGGAUCAAAUUAUCGUUACUCUGAGAAAAACAAUCAAACUUUCUUUUCGGUGUUUUCCAUCUUCUUCCCAUCUGUCACCGGGAUUCAAGCGGGCGCUAACAUAUCUGGUGAUUUGAAGGAUGCAGCGAGCAGUAUACCUAUCGGGACUCUUCUCGCUCUGUUGAUAUCCAUGUUUAGUUAUGCAACUUUUGUCUUUUUUGCCGGCGCCGCAGCUGCUAGAGAUGCUGGUGGUUUUGUAAAUAGUACUGUUGUGAACUGUAUUCCUGAGUUUAACUGCACGUACGGACUGCACAACAGUUAUUCAGUCAUGCAGUUAAUGUCAUUAUGGGGUCCUCUAAUUUAUGCAGGCUGUUUCGCAGCUACUUUGUCGACAGCGUUGACCAAUUUACUAUCGGUGCCAAGACUCAUUCAGGCUCUGGGUCAAGAUCGAAUUUAUCCCGGGCUGAUUUACUUCAGCAAGAGAUACGGAAAGUCCGGGGAACCCUAUAGAGGAUAUGUUCUUACGUUUGUUGUUGCGGCACUCUUUCUCUUAAUCGCCGAUCUCAACGCAGUCGCACCACUCAUCUCGAACUUCUAUUUAGCGUCAUACGCUUUAAUCAAUUUCUGCACUUUUCACGCAGCGUUAAUUCGACCUCUCGGAUGGCGGCCUAGUUUUAAAUACUACAAUACUUGGCUGUCUUUGAUGGGUUUUAUUCUUUGCGUAUCAAUUAUGUUCCUUAUCGAUUGGGUGACUUCACUCGUUACCUUUGUCAUUAUCUUCGCGCUAUAUCUAAUAGUAGUUUACCGUAAACCAGAUGUGAACUGGGGCAGUAGUACGCAGGCGCAAACUUUUAAGACUGCAAUUUCCAUCGUCUACAGGUUAAACUCCAUUGACGAACACGUGAAGAAUUACGCUCCCAAAAUUUUAGCACUUACUGGCCCGCCUGCUGCCAGACCAGCGUUAAUACACUUAGCAAAUCUCAUUACGAAGAAUAAUUCGUUGCUAAUUGCCGGCGAAGUUUUUCCGACACGACUAUCGUAUCGAGUGCGCUCCGUACGCCUAAAUAAUGGUUCCUUCUGGCUGCAACAACAACGUAUAAAAUCAUUCUACCACUUAGUGGAUGACUUGAGUCUGGAACGAGGUGCUGCUGCAUUGAUGCAAGCAACCGGGAUCGGUAAAUUGGCUCCCAAUGUAGUCCUCAUGGGUUAUAAAACCCACUGGUCGAUGUGCAAUCAUAAAGAUUUGCAGGAGUAUUUCGAUAUUCUUCACAAUGCUUUCGAUAAUAAGUUGGCUGUAGCAAUUUUGAGAAUUGCCGAAGGUUUGGAUUGCUCCGGCAUUACAAAUGGGGAAGACACAAACGGAGAGGAUGAUCACGGAGGUCUCGUACAGAGUAAUUAUAAUUUGGCAGGUAAUACUCUGAUGCACGCUGACAGCAAUCUCUCCAUGAGUACGCAGAUUCCCAGGGUACAAAGCGUGCCAACAAUAGGUACUUCAUUUGUCACACCUGACACGACACCUGUGAUUGGAUAUUCAACGAUAAAUUGGAAAGCUCACGAUAAUAUAAAACAAAAAAAAAAACAUGCUGUUGAUAAAUUGUUCGAAAGACGAAACGGCGGGAUGGCUUCUAUACCAGAAAAUGUAACAAUUUUCCAACAGAAGUACAAGAAAGGAACGAUUGAUGUGUGGUGGCUAUAUGAUGAUGGAGGUUUGACGGUUCUCCUACCGUAUAUAAUCAGCACGCGCGCAAAUUGGAAGCAUUGCAAAAUGAGAAUAUUUGCUCUGACUAACCAUAAGCAUGAUAUUAGCGCGCAAGAAAAAGAGAUGAUUGAGAUAAUGAAUAAGGCACGAAUUAACUAUAGCAGCUUGAAAAUAGUAAAUGACAUUGGCGUCGAAUUAAAAGAAGAGACACGAAUUUUCUUUGAUAAAUUAAUAUCCGAUUUUCGAAUAAACGAUUCUUCUUCCGUAAAUGGUGAAUGCUAUAUUACUGAGAACGAGCUUCAGACUCUACGAGAGAAAACCCAUCGGCAAUUGCGAUUGCGAGAAUUAUUAUUGGAAAAUUCGAGUAAAUCUACUUUAGUAGUUAUGUCUUUACCAAUGCCAAGAAAGGGUGCAGUAUCGGCACCAUUAUAUAUGGCCUGGUUGGAGACGCUUACGAAGGAUAUGCCACCCACGAUUUUAGUCCGCGGAAAUCAUACAUCUGUAUUAACAUUUUAUUCGUAGUCCACCGAACAUGGUCUAGUUACAUAUGGUACGUCUCAAUAAUAAUAAUAAUAAAAUAUUUGUUGCCUGUUCCCAUCAGGUUUCGAAAGUGGACUUGCAUUGUCCAUGCAAGUCGAAAUGAAGAAAUAAACGGAACAGCUUUUAUCAGCUGACAGAUAAAAUUGUUGUACUCGAAGAUUGUAACGAUAAGCACAAUGAAGAAUGAAGAACUUUACUGGAGUUCGAUUUUUAGUAUGACACAAGAUUCUCGUGUGGAAAUUGAAUAUGACUUGAAUGUCGUAUAUGGAGAGUAUGCUGAAGAUUAUUAGCAACGAGAAGUUAUGUCAGAGAAGAGUCUCUUAGUAGAAUAUUUUAUCUUUAUGUCGAAUGAUGAAUGGAAUCGAAGACAUUUUCCAACCUAAAAAAGUCUCAGUUUGUUAAAGAAGUAGGUAGUGUGAAAGAUGCCAACAAAUGAAUUUUGGCAGAAAAACUAGAAUAAUAAAAGUAGAAGCGGUGAGAAAGACAUAAUAGUGAAAUAGUGAAUAUUAGAAAAUGGGAAGAAGAAUAAAUGGGAUGAAGAAAUCAGGAAUAAUAUUUUAUGGAAAGGUUCCAUUGUACU